rnacentral:lncRNA from 1 species
GCGUUAAUUACAUGCUGUUUUUACAAAAGGAUCCCAUGGAAUUUGAUUUUUGGUUGUAAUUUCACUAUGUGUAAUGACGUUAAUUACAUGUUUCUGGAGCUAUGAUGUUUGUUGUGUGGAUGAUGCAUUGUCAUCCAUCGUUUGGCGAAGGUAGGGUAUGGGGGGUAUGCUGUUAUAAUACGUACUGCAUUCAUUUUAUAUGCAUGCAGGGGGGAGAAGGGUAUGCCCAUAUAUAAGAAUACUUGCAUCCUGAGUUACAGAACUGCGAAAUCAGUAAUGAAAUCAAUCCAAGGGAACUGCGGGGCAUUCUUCUUAAGGACCGCAAUUAAUAGUGCAAUCCACUUCAGCUUUUUAAAUAGAAUUAUCUGUUCGAUCCUGCAAAAAAGUUUAGAGAAUACAAUAACUUCCCAAUAAAAGUAUAAUAAAAUAGCACAUCAAACCAAGUAUAGAAUUUAAAAAAAAUGGGACAAAACAACAAGUUCGCUCGUACAAAAAAACAACUAGUUUGGAGUACAACUUCGCCAAGUCCAAAAAGACUAAUACCAAGCUAACUCGAAGCA